rnacentral:lncRNA from 1 species
AUCAGCCCACUUGUCACUGAUGUGACUCUCACGUAUUGCUAAAAUUCUUGACUACCAAGAGAGACCGGUGCUCUCAACUUGGAAUAAAGGAUGCUAAUGAAGCAGCUUUUUAACUAAAAUAUGUCACAAAAUGCUAAAAAGGGAUAAUAUUACAAUUCCAGUGCAAGUCCAACAUAACCAAGAUCGAGCAAUUCUUUGUGCACCGAAUGCGGU